ACAGCGAACGACUGAGACCAUCGGCAUAACAGAACUACUAGCCGACGGUCACUCAUAGAUUUUACCGAUAUAUAGUCGGUUCUACCGAUAUAUGACCGGCUAAUCUGCUCAACAUACCAUAACCGUCACAAAUGGUUAUCAACUACGUGUCACGGCUAUUAAGAAAAAUUAACGUCCCACUAAUUCCAUAUUUAUGAUCCGAUAAUUUAACGUCAUAAAAAAUGAGACCGCAUGCUCGACGGUUACAUCA
rnacentral:lncRNA from 1 species